GUCCAGGGAUGGGAAUCGAACCCACAGUGUUCCGCUUACCGGGCAGAUACCAUAACCACUAGGCUACCCUGGA
rnacentral:tRNA from 1 species